AACGCCGCGUGGAGGAUGAAGGUCUUCGGAUUGUAAACUCCUGUUGCCCGGGACGAAUGGCUCCAACCUAAUACGUUGGAGUGUGACGGUACCGGGUGAGGAAGCCCCGGCUAACUCUGUGCCAGCAACUGCGGUGACUGAGCGGGCUGGCAAGGCGCAUA
rnacentral:rRNA from 1 species